rnacentral:lncRNA from 1 species
CCCUGCUCCCUCCGCACCCUGCCCUGCCACAUCACCAGGGGAAGGUACAUCUCGCCAGGAUGAUUCUGUCCUGGCCCCUGACUCACCUGACCACAGCCCUGCACCUCUCCAUGAACCAUGGGAAAUAAUUUAAGAGUUUGGGUCUAGGGAGUGCCGAUCAAUCCGUCCUUGGUGGGCUGCAGAACACGUGAGGUAGGGCCAGCAGCUGGCAGGGCAGAGGUCAGACAGGAUCUGGGUGGGGCUCACAGACAGGCUCUGUCGCAGAGACCCCUGCCCCCACAAACACAUCCCUGUCCCAGUUGAGAACCAGGAGG